UACGUAGGGGGCAAGCGUUGUCCGGAAUCAUUGGGCGUAAAGAGCGUGUAGGCGGCCUGGAAAGUCUGGUGUGAAAUCUUGGGGCUCAACCCCAAGCGGUCACUGGAUACUCUCAGGCUUGAAUCUGGAAGAGGAGAGUGGAAUUCCCGGUGUAGCGGUGGAAUGCGCAGAUAUCAGGAGGAACACCAGCGGCGAAGGCAGCUCUCUGGUACAUGAUUGACGCUGAGACGCGAAAGCGUGGGUAGCAAACAGG
rnacentral:rRNA from 1 species